UCAGCCCCAGGCACAGCUGGGCUCACCCUGCCCUCCCAUUGCUCUGACAGCUUUGCAUCACACGAGCGCGUUCCCAGCACACCGCCUGAGCUUUCUGCUUUUGCAGAAGUGCCACUGCUGUGUUCCUGAGGCAGUGCAGUCUGGAGCUGAUGGAUGAAGAAUUGCCCCUCUGCACUUCCAAACCAGAGCAAAAAGCUAAAUCAUGCUAUGAAAAAGAAGUGUCCUUUGCUCCUGGUUCCUGUGUGGAGCAGCUCCCUUCCCGCUGGCUGAGCUGCUCAGGCAGAGCCCGGCAGCUCCUGGCCCUGCAAGGCUGAGGCUUUUCCCCGUUGCUGGGCACAGACUGAUGGAGCAGCACUGCUGAACACGGGCACACGCAGAGGGAGCAGAGCAGCUGCCUUUGCCCACCUGAAGCUCCAAGGCCAAACUCUGAGCAGGCACGGCUGGAAGAGACUUGCAGGCUCCCUGUUGGCUCUGCUGCCCCACUUGUGCCCGGCCCAGCUCUGCGUGAGGCACAGGGAGAACAAGGGGCAGCUCCCUCCCAGCCCCAGCCCAGGGACCCCUCCAGCCCUGGGCCUUGGGGAACUGUCAGCACCCGCUCCUCCAGCCACGGCUUCUGCUGGCACUGACAGCAACAACCAAACUGGGGCUGGUCCCGAGGGAGCAGCAGCAGUGCCUGGGUCUGAUCCCUCAGUGUGGGGCAGUGCU